rnacentral:lncRNA from 1 species
CCAUUGUUGGCGGGCCCUUGUGGGCUCCCAGCGCAAUCUGUCUGUUUUGGGUGCUCCUCACCCCGUCGGUCUCCGCAGGCAGCGUCGCUGAGGGCUUCCACGUGGCAGCCCGCAGACAGCAGAACUCCAGCCCUUCGGGAGGCCUUUCCCACGCCAGGCCCCGAGCUGACAUUACGUGGUCCACAGCACAGCGAGCACGUAUGUUCUCAUCAGUCACGUGUGUGUGGAAACCGAGUGCAGGCACUUUCUCAAUGGAGGGUUUUUACCUGGACAGACUUGAAACUUGCGGGGAAGACCAGGGCUCUCUGCUGACCUCUGAGCAGAGGGGGCUCGGAAGGACAGCGAAAUGGAAGGCACUUUUGAAGAAUCCCAUCACACACACAAGCUGGAUUGAGCGCAUUAACGUUGCAGCCCUCAGCUGCCCCCAGAUUCCAGGGACAGGGGCAGGGGACAGUCAGGAAAGUUGCUGCCCGCUGUGGCCCCUGGAGGGACAGCCAGGACCCGGUGGAGGCAUCCAGCUCCAGAGCUCACCUGGGACUCUGAUCCUGGGUGGCAGGACUCCAGCCUUCUCCGUCCCUGUCCCUUCCUGGCCUGCUGUCUUGGACAGAGGUGGCAGGGCUGGGCUCCCUCCAGGGGGCAGAAGGACAGGGGCUCAGCCCGUACCCAGGCGUCGGGGCCCCGGUGGCCUUGGCCGGGCUUCUGGAAAUCUCUCCCGGGAGCAGCACUCCUCCUCAC